rnacentral:misc_RNA from 1 species
AGCGAUCACGGCUCCCCCGGAAUCGCUCCCGCGACGUCAACGCUCAGCGCUACAGCUGUGGUGCGUCCCGAACGCCUCAACUACCCUUCCUUCGGCACAGGCACAAGUGGUGCGCAGCGCCUUUUCUACCUCUUCCAUGGACUAUAACGUGUCAACUGCGGCGGUCGUGCUCGACUGCGGCUCCUUCCAUUCCCGCGCCGGCUUUGGCGGCGAGAAGGGGCCGCGUCUUGACGUACCGACGCUCGUCGGCUACCCACGCCACCGCAGUAUCGCCAUGGCAGCUGGAAUGAAUGAACAGGAGGUGGGCGAGGAGGCGCUGCUGAAGCAGGGUAUCCUGGAUGUGCAUCACCCGAUCCGCAACGGCUUCAUCAACGAUUGGAGCGAUGUGGAGAAGCUGUGGAGUCAUCUAUUCUUCAACGAGCUGCGCGUGUCGCCGGAGACGCACUGCUUCCUGCUGACGCAGCCCGUCAACGCCCCUGCCGCUCAGCGUGAGCGAACGCUGGAGAUCAUGAUGGAGACCUUCCACGCGCACUCGCUCUACCUCGGCACCUCCCAGGUGCUGAGUCUGUACAGCUACGGGCUCACUACGGGACUCGUGGUGGACAGUGGCAAGGACGUCACACACGCCGUCCCCAUCCACGAAGGCUAUGCGCUAGUGCGGCACGUCACGCAGAGCCCCGUCGCCGGUGCGGCACUCACCCGGUACCUGGGCGGACUGCUUCGCGAGCAGGGCUACGCUCUCGGCACGGCGACCGAGCAGGAGCUGCUGAACAGCGCCAAGGAGGAUUUGUGCUACGUGCAGCCCAGCGCGCACGCGCAGCGCGGGGCGGUCGGCGACACCUACACCCCCGCAUCCGGGACCUCGGCAAGGGUAUCUCCGGCUGCCGCGAGCGCGACCAGCCGCAGAAGCACGCAACUCACCGGAGGAAUCAAGGGCAGCGCCGACAGCGCGAGCUCAGCCACCGCAACCACGGCCGUGACAGCAAAGGAGUCUUUCAUUGGAUCCGCUGCAGAGAAACACCUCGACGUGGACCGCGGGCUCACAUCCACGGCCGCGAUGGGUGCCACCGAAGACUUCUUGCUCCCCGACGGGCAGCGCAUCCCGCUCACGGCGGAGCGCUACGACACGGCCGAGGUGCUCUUCAACUACUCCCUGCUUGCCCUGAUGGACAGCAACGGCGAGGAUAGCAGCACCUACGAGCCCCGCUGCAAGGUGCGCACCGACAUGGGCGACCUGUUCCGCCCAUCUUUUGAGAAGGGGAUCAGCUGGCUGCCGUUCGCGGCCGUCAACAACUGCGAGGCGGCGCUGCGGCCGCAGCUCUACGCCAACAUGGUGCUGGCCGGCGGCUCCACCUCCUUCCCUGGGCUCAAGGCCCGCCUCGAAUCCGAGGUGCGGCAGCUCUACCGGGAAAGCCACCCCAGCGAGGCGGUGGUGCCGAUCCAGGUGCGCGACAUGCCGUGUCGCACCUAUAGCACGUGGCUGGGUGGGUCCAUGCUCGCGCAGACGGCCGUCUUUCAGCACCUGGUCGUCUCCCGAAAGGAGUACGAGGAGGAGGGGGCGCGUGUCAUCCACUACAAGUCGCUCUGAGCUGUUGGCGCGGCAGUCAAGGAUUGGGAAGGGACAAUGAGGGGUUUGGGGGGAUGGGGGCGGAAGAGUCUGGCCCCUUAACUCGCUCUCCUCAACUAUUCCUGCAGGUUCUAAUCAGCAUCCAUGGUGGUCAUAUAUAUAUAUAUAUGUGGCCUGCGUGUGCGGAUGUCUGCCUGGACGGGUGACUGCAUGUACAAGCUGGCGCGCCACGCACGACAUCUGUGCCCGUGAGCAUGUGUGUGUGUGUGUGUGUGUGGUUUGCGCUGAUGGGGAUGGUGACGGUGGUGGCGUUGUUGCUGCUCUGUGGCUCGUAUGUUGCCCAUCCCUGUUGUGGGCCCGUUGCAUGGCUCUACGAUGUAGUAUACGCAUGUUUGCUUAUCAUUCC